GAUGAACGCUGGCGGCGUGCCUAACACAUGCAAGUCGAGCGAACGGACGAGAAGCUUGCUUCUCUGAUGUUAGCGGCGCACGGGGGAGUAACACGUGGAUAACCUACUUAUAAGACUGGGAUAACUCUGGGAAACCGGAGCUAAGACCGGAUAAUAUUUUGAACCGCAUGGUUCAAAAGUGAAAGUCGGUCUUGCUGUCACUUAUAGAUGGAUCCGCGCUGCAUUAGGUAGUUGGUAAGGUAACGGCUUACGAAGGCAACGGAGCAUAGCCGACCUGAGAGGGAGGUGCACUAGACGGGCAGUGAGAAAGGGCACACACACUGAGAGUGAGACGCGGCAGGGAAUCCUCCGGGAGGGGGGAGAGGCUGACAGUGGAACGUGGCGGGAGUCAUGAAGGACCUCGGCUGGUAAAGCUAUGAUAUUAGGGGAGAACAAAUGUGUAAGUAACUGGGCACAUCAUGACGGUACCGGAGCAAAAAGCCACGGCUAACUACGUG
rnacentral:rRNA from 1 species